GACGAACGCUGGCGGCGUGCUUAACACAUGCAAGUCGAACGGAAAGGCCUCUUUCGGGGGGUACUCGAGUGGCGAACGGGUGAGUAACACGUGAGUAACCUGCCCUUGACUUUGGGAUAACUUCAGGAAACUGGGGCUAAUACCGGAUAGGAGCUCCUGCUGCAUGGUGGGGGUUGGAAAGUUUCGGCGGUUGGGGAUGGACUCGCGGCUUAUCAGCUUGUUGGUGGGGUAGUGGCUUACCAAGGCUUUGACGGGUAGCCGGCCUGAGAGGGUGACCGGCGACAUUGGGACUGAGAUACGGCCCAGACUGCUACGGGAGGAAGCAGUGGGGAAUAUUGAACAAUGGGUGGAAGCCUGAUGCAGCAACGCCGUGUGCGGGAUGACGGCCUUCGGGGUGUAAACCGCUUUCGCUCAUGACGAAGCUUUGUGUGACGGUAGUGGGUAAGGAAGCACCGGCUAACUACGUG
rnacentral:rRNA from 1 species